AUGUUUUCUACAGUGAACAAAGAUGUGUGUGGACACUUCAGCCUUGCUCAGGGAUCAUCUGUCACAUCCCAUCAUCAGAGAGGUGCAUUCACACCAGCCGCUGCUCCAGGACGGCUCACUAAGGGGGUGGCGAACCUUCCACGGGCCGACAGCGGUGCUCAUGUAAGGAUCAGUGUCAGCGUCACCAUCGCAGGCUCGGCAUCGGUGUAUUAUUUAAAAAGCCCAAGCAUUAAAACUGUUUCUGGUUCAUUAUCAACACGGUUUGCCAGUUUAUUUACAGGCAGGAAGAGGGGAGUACAGCUCAAGAAACAGAGGACAGAAAUUCUGAGAAUCAUGUUUGUUUUGCACAAAGGCAGAACUUGCACCCACAUGAAUAAAAAAGUACACAAAGAACAAAACUGAUGCUGUAUCAAUAUAAUAUUUGCACUUUUUUGUGUAUUCAUUCCAGAUGCUCAUAUUUUAUUGGCAUUUAGCCUGCAGCUUACAACCACUGAGCAUUUAAUGUUUAAUACAAAUGUUGUAAUGCUUUGUUGUGUCUUACAAUUCAUUAAACAAAGUGCAGAUAUCCAUUCAUGGAGGUUCAUUUUUGGGUUUAUGUUAAAGUUUAUAGAUUGAAUUAGAGCAGGUUGAUAUUCCACAUGGUAGUGGAGGAAGAGUUACUGAAAAAGGGAAAAUAAAUGUCCAAUAGAUUAAUAACUUGGUAUGCUAUUUUAAGGCUUCUCAUUUCAAGUAAGCACUAUUUUUCAUGUCUUCAUCGGCUGCAUUUCUACUUUAAUCUUCUAACUUUGUUGACUGAUAUAGGUGUUUGAGAACGAACUCUUAUAAAAGUAAUGAUUCAUAAAUGCAUGCACUACAGAGGUUUUUAGAUUUCGGUGUAAAAAACAAGAGCUCGGAUGCACGUCACUCACUCAGUCAGUCAGUGCACAGGUUGUUGGUGAAGUUGUUAGCGUAGAUAAUGAGAUAAUUGGCACUGGACAGAUCUGCUGUGUGUGCUGGAAAAUAAAAAGAUCCCCAGAGACCUGGACUCACCUCCAGUUGGGAGAUGGUGCUGUGUGUGUGUGUGUGUGUGUGUGUGUGUGUGUGUGUGUGUGUGUGUGUAUUCUCAGUGGUGUAGUUGCUAAUGUAGCGGAAGAAACACGAGAAUAGGAAGACAUGUGAAAAGACACAUUAGUAAAAAAGGUCAAAGUGGAAGGUGAAGGUUAAAUAAAGGAGAGGACUGAGGGACAAUAUAAUGAUGAGGAGGAGGAUGAUGAUGCAUGAAGCUGGGUGCUGAGGGCACAUCUGGGACUGACACCGUUAAGUGGUGCUGGGUUGUCAAAAACAAGUCAAUAAUAACAUUAUCAGUAUUUUAUGACUACAGUGACUGAAGCUCAUAUUUUGUUUCAAUAUUCAAUAUAUUUGAAUUAGAACGUUUCUGUGAGGAGGCUCAAGUCUCUUUAUCACUAUCUUCUUCUACAAAUGUCCAACCGCUUUGUUACUUAAUUGUAGUUUUAGUGUAAUCUUAGUCUUUUUCUUUAGUAUUAAUUAUGAAUUGAGUUUGAAUAUUAAAUUACGUUUAGUUUUUAAAUUUUUAGAUAUAGAUCAAGUUGUAUUUUUUGUUUUCUUUAGUGACCUUCCAUCAAACAGACUGAGUAAAACCUGCACACUGAUUCCAAAGCCCUCAACAAGCACCCACAUCAUUUUAUCUCUCCCUUAGCUUUUCCUGCACAGUGCACCUGAUACUUUCUGCAUCCACGGAGCUGUGGUGUAGAUCUGCGCCACUGUGUACAACCCCAUCUGUGAAUGAAGACACUCAAUGAACUGUGAAGUCUGUCCAGCCAUCAUUCACAUUAGGGCACAUGGAAAAGAUCAAAUCAAGUAAAACACAUCUUUGGGUCAAGUGACGCUUCUAGACACUGUUGGUGCUGAUUUCUUUAGUUGUAUAAUAUGGCAGUAAAACACUUACACUGACACUCACCGCCUCAACGACUUAUAUACCUGUUGUUCGUCCAUCAUGAGAUUAGCUAACUCGCUGAGAAGUAUAUUACUGUCCGUAUAACUUUUGAUUUAACCAUAUUAACAUAGUUUCUGUUAAGUUGACAGUAAUAUAACAGCAGCAGAGAUAUCCUGACUCCUCUCUACAUGUCAACCAUCCCUUGAGCAAAGCCUUAUCAGCGCUCAGGGACAGACAGAGUUGACUGUAAACAUGGCUGCACAAGUGGGGACCCAACUGUCUUCUGAGGGGUAAUUAUUAUUAUUAGCAAUCCGAGCUGCAGCGUGUCCCCACGAGGCCUCCAGAACAAUGAAGAUCCACAAGGGUGCUGUGACAGUCGCUCAUCUACUCCAGGUAUCAGAGUGAGUCAGCUAGACGUUAAUACCCAGGCUAAUAGUGGCUGCCAAGUGGAGCUAACGCUGAGCUAAUAGCAGCGGUGAGGGACAAGCAGGUGCUACCAUGGGGACGUGACUCACUCAAACUUGGCUGUCCAGAGGCCUCGUCCUCAGGCUGUAAUUAGUAGCCAGUGACAACAGGGCUCAACAGAGGAGAAGCAGCAUGCCAAGCAGGUACACAUGGGUCGGUGCAACAAUAAUAAUUACCAGUCACUAAAACAAUCAACGCCCAGUGUUGAAUAUUCUAUUACAAACUCUGUGUCAAGUUUUUUUUUUUUUUUGAUGGUGGCCAAGUUCAGUUUAAGUAUGAUUAAAGGGUAAAAAAAAAAAAAUACCAAAUGCAAUCCAGUUUAGUAUAUUAACGACAAUAGUGCUUGGUGAAGCCUGUGACCUUUGAUUUUAAGGUGUCAGAGAGAGGUUGGUUUAACUGUAUGGUAUAUUCUUUAUUUUCUUAUGUCAAACAAGUAUUGCCUGUAUUAGCAAAGCUGGAUAUUAUACAUCUAUAGAUCUUUAUUUCUCUGUGCCACAGACCUCCAUUGUCCAUCAAUGAGCCACACUGUUGUGACACUGGUUUCCUUCAUUAAGAUGAACACAGGUGCUGCAGUUUAUUCUGGGUUAAUCUCACAUACACUGUCCUCCUGUCAUAAAUGUCAACUAUAGUAACAAAUGUGUGUUAAUCAAUUUCUGAAAAUUAUGAAGGACAUAUUUCUACAUCUAUUUAUUUUUUAUUUAUACAUUUAUACUUACUUAUUAUUUUGUUUAUUUCUGUAUUUCUACAUGUAUUCAUUUCUGUAUUUCUGUGUGAGCAUUUUAACUGAGUGGGUGGUCCUAACAUGAGUCUGAAGCAGGAUCGGUCAGGGAGAGACUAGUGACACUAUGGAAAACCGGCCCCUGCUCUGCCUCUGAAUUUUAUAAAGGAGCAUGGUCUAGACCUGCUCUGUAUGAAAAGUAAAAGAUAACUUCUGUUAUGAUUAGGCGCUAUUCAAGUAAAACAGGACUGAACUGAAAUUGCCAAUAUCCUUUCCGGGAAAACCUCCUACACACUAACAUUAGCUUAGCUAUGAUCCCAACUAGUGCUACAAAGUAAAUAGUAUAUAGCCAAUCAGAGGCACAGUAGGGGCGGGUCUUCCCACCCCUGUGCAAUCCUGCAAGACUGAUGUUAGGACCACCCUGUCAAUAUAAAUAAAUGUAUAAAUACAUUUAUAAAUACACAAAUAAAUAUAAAUAUAAAUAUAUAUAUAUAUAUAUAUAUAUAUAUAUAUAUAUAUUAUCAUAAUAAUAAUAAUAAUUAAUAAUAAUAAUUAUAUAACAAUAAAAAAAAUAUAUAAUCAUCAUUAUUAUUAUUAUUAUUAUUAUUAUAAUAAA
rnacentral:lncRNA from 15 species